rnacentral:rRNA from 1 species
GAACGCUGGCGGCGUGCUUAACACAUGCAAGUCGAGCGGAAAGGCCCUUCGGGGUACUCGAGCGGCGAACGGGUGAGUAACACGUGAGCAACCUGCCCCAAGCUUUGGGAUAACCCCGGGAAACCGGGCUAAUACCGAAUAUUACCUGGCCUCGCAUGAGGUUUAACGGCCUACCAAGCCUACGAUUCGGCUUGGGAUGGGCUCGCGGCCUAUCAGCUUGUUGGUGGGGUGAUGGCCUACCAAGGCGACGACGGGUAGCCGGCCUGAGAGGGCGACCGGCCACACUGGGACUGAGACACGGCCCAGACUCCUACGGGAGGCAGCAGUGGGGAAUAUUGCACAAUGGGCGGAAGCCUGAUGCAGCGACGCCGCGUGAGGGAUGACGGCCUUCGGGUUGUAAACCUCUUUCAGCAGGGACGAAGCGAGAGUGACGGUACCUGCAGAAGAAGCACCGGCCAACUACGUGCCAGCAGCCGCGGUAAGACGUAGGGUGCGAGCGUUGUCCGGAUUUAUUGGGCGUAAAGAGCUCGUAGGCGGCUUGUCGCGUCGACUGUGAAAACCCGCAGCUCAACUGCGGGCCUGCAGUCGAUACGGGCAGGCUAGAGUUCGGUAGGGGAGACUGGAAUUCCUGGUGUAGCGGUGAAAUGCGCAGAUAUCAGGAGGAACACCGAUGGCGAAGGCAGGUCUCUGGGCCGAUACUGACGCUGAGGAGCGAAAGCGUGGGGAGCGAACAGGAUUAGAUACCCUGGUAGUCCACGCUGUAAACGUUGGGCGCUAGGUGUGGGGGGCCUCUCCGGUUCCCUGUGCCGCAGCUAACGCAUUAAGCGCCCCGCCUGGGGAGUACGGCCGCAAG